rnacentral:sRNA from 1 species
GUCGUGAGAUGUUGGGUUAAGUCCCGCAACGAGCGCAACCCUCGCCCUUAGUUGCCAUCAUUUAGUUGGGCACUCUAAGGGGACUGCCGGUGAUAAGCCGGAGGAAGGUGGGGAUGACGUCAAGUCCUCAUGGCCCUUACAGGCUGGGCUACACACGUGCUACAAUGGCGGUGACAGAGGGACGCAAAGGGGCAACCCUUCGCAAAUCUCAAAAAGCCGUCUCAGUUCGGAUUGUGCUCUGCAACUCGAGCACAUGAAGUUGGAAUCGCUAGUAAUCGCAGAUCAGCACGCUGCGGUGAAUACGUUCCCGGGCCUUGUACACACCGCCCGUCACACCAUGGGAGUUGGCUUUACCUGAAGACGGUGCGCUAACCGCAAGGAGGCAGCCGGCCACGGUAGGGUCAGCGACUGGGGUGAAGUCGUAACAAGGUAGCCGUAGGGGAACCUGCGGCUGGAUCACCUCCUUUCUAAGGAUGAUCCUUCAGAGACGUCUCACGCGUCUCUAUCGGAUCUCUUGGAAACAUCAGGACUCGUUCGUUUCAGGAUGAACGGGUCCACUGGCGGGACACCGCCGUCUUCUUUUCUCUUUCUUCACGGACGAGCCCAAUCAGGGAUCAGCGGUCGGUAAUCAGUGAGCAGGCUUCUCGCCGGCACUGACGCCUGGCAACUGAUCGCUGACUCCUGGCUAUUUGACUCCUUGUUUCUGACACCUGGCCAAGGGCUUGUAGCUCAGUUGGUUAGAGCGCGCGCUUGAUAAGCGUGAGGGUCGGAAGUUCAAGUCUUCCCAGGCCCACCAGUUUCAGGGAUCAGUGAAAUCAGUAGUCGGAAACGCGCGCGCGGUUCCCGCCCUGGAGGGGCCAUAGCUCAGUUGGGAGAGCGCCUGCUUUGCAAGCAGGAGGUCGUCGGUUCGAUCCCGUCUGGCUCACAAUAUCGAGUGGGGCUGUCGAGUGGGCGCGAUCGAGCUGCGAUUUUGCUUUGAUGCGAGAGCUGCUGCUUUUGCCGGGGUUCGAUCGCAUCAGGGUUUCGACCGCAUCAGGGUUCGAUCACUUCAGGUUCGAUUCACAUCGCAUAGGGCGGUGGGGAUUGAAGCUUCGGCUCGUCCGUAGAAAACAAAUUCCGCUCCCGUCACCGGGCCACAACGGCUCAGUGCGGGCGCGUGAUAUCUGACAUCGUGAAGAGAAGGAUCGCUCCGAGAGUCGAUCGUGACGUAAAGUCACGACCGAUGCGCAUCUCCGAGCAUUGAACGCGACCGCGUUGCGCGGCGAUGAAAAUCGCCGGACGACGAGCUCGCGGCGCCGAUACCAAUUGGCGCGUCAUGUUGCAUUGUCAUGUAACAACGGCGCGUCAUGCAGAUCGGCGUGCCAAUCCCAAUCGGCGCGUCAUGAAGACUGACGUGCCGAUCCAAUCGGCUCAAUGCCAUAUGUCGGCUGCUUGACCGCACGCCGUCGGAACGAUCCGAAGCAAGCUGGUCUUUCUAAAUCAGUGUCCGCCCCGUCGACCUGUUCGCAGGAACGCAAGUUCCGAUGAACGAUCGCCGGGCCUGCUGCCGAGCGGGAUGGGCAUUGAUGAUGAGAGCGAUCAAGUGACUUAAGGGCAUUUGGUGGAUGCCUUGGCGCUGAGAGGCGAUGAAGGACGUGCUACGCUGCGAUAAGCCGUGGGGAGCUGCGAAGAAGCUUUGAUCCGCGGAUUU